UAACAAGGAUUCCCCUAGUAACUGCGAGUGAAGCGGGAAAAGCUCAAAUUUAAAAUCUGGCGGUCUUUUUUGGCUGUCCGAGUUGUAAUUUAGAGAAGCAUUACCCGCGCUGGACCGUAUACAAGUCCUCUGGAAUGGGGCGUCAUAGAGGGUGAGAAUCCCGUCUUUGAUAUGGACUACCAGUGCUUUGUGGUGUGCUCUCGAAGAGUCGAGUUGUUUGGGAAUGCAGCUCAAAAUGGGUGGUAAAUUCCAUCUAAAGCUAAAUACAGGCGAGAGACCGAUAGCGAACAAGUACCGUGAGGGAAAGAUGAAAAGAACUUUGGAAAGAGAGUUAAACAGUACGUGAAAUUGCUGAAAGGGAAACGCUUGAAGUCAGUCGCGUUGGCUGAGAAUCAGCCUUGCUCUUUUGCUUGGUGUACUUCUCAGUCGAUGGGUCAGCAUCAGUUUUGACUGCUGGAUAAAGGUCAGGGGAAUGUGGCAUCUUUGGAUGUGUUAUAGCCCUUGUUCGUAUACAGCAGUUGGGACUGAGGAACUCAGCACGCCGCAAGGCCGGGUUUUCAACCACGUACGUGCUUAGGAUGCUGGCAUAAUGGCUUUAAUCGACCC
rnacentral:rRNA from 1 species